CAGUAGCCACGGUAAUACAGAGGGUGCGAGCGUUAAUCGGAUUUACUGGGCGUAAAGCGUGCGUAGGCGGCUUCUUAAGUCGGAUGUGAAAUCCCUGAGCUUAACUUAGGAAUUGCAUUCGAUACUGGGAAGCUAGAGUAUGGGAGAGGAUGGUAGAAUUCCAGGUGUAGCGGUGAAAUGCGUAGAGAUCUGGAGGAAUACCGAUGGCGAAGGCAGCCAUCUGGCCUAACACUGACGCUGAGGUACGAAAGCAUGGGGAGCAAACAGGAUUAGAUACCCCGGUAGUCCCUGUCUCUUAUAC
rnacentral:rRNA from 1 species